UCUGAUUGGUUCUGGUACUUCCUGUUUUUAUUUGGUCUUUUUUCCAGAGCGUCCUGAGUCGACCAUGAAUGACAUGAUGUACUCUGUCGUCUCCGUCACAAAUAAGAAGACAGUGAGAGGAGAGGUCAACAAACCAGAAACAAACGAAGUAGUGUACGCUUCAGUCUCACAAUGACCAGAGUGACAGGAAACCGACUGAAGGAGACUCGACAAACCGCGAAUGAAU